rnacentral:rRNA from 1 species
GGGUUGUGAGGUUAAGCGACUAAGCGUACACGGUGGAUGCCCUGGCAGUCAGAGGCGAUGAAGGGCGUGCUAAUCUGCGAUAAGCGCCGGUAAGGUGAUAUGAACCGUUAUAACCGGCGAUACCCGAAUGGGGAAACCCAGUGUGACUCGUCACACUAUCAUUAACUGAAUCCAUAGGUUAAUGAGGCGAACCGGGGGAACUGAAACAUCUAAGUACCCCGAGGAAAAGA